rnacentral:rRNA from 1 species
GAUGAACGCUAGCGAUAGGCUUAACACAUGCAAGUCGAGGGGCAGCAUGGUCUUAGCUUGCUAAGGCUGAUGGCGACCGGCGCACGGGUGCGUAACGCGUAUGCAACUUGCCUCACAGAGGGGGAUAACCCGUCGAAAGACGGACUAAUACCGCGUACACUCUAUGUUGGGCAUCCAAUGUAGAGGAAAUGACAUUCGCUGUGAGAUAGGCAUGCGUCCCAUUAGCUAGUUGGUGAGGUAACGGCUCACCAAGGCGACGAUGGGUAGGGGAACUGAGAGGGUGAACCCCCACACUGGUACUGAGACACGGACCAGACUCCUACGGGAGGCAGGAGUGAGGAAUAUUGGGCAAUGGGCGAGAGCCUGAACCAGCCAAGUCGCGUGAAGGAUGACUGUCUUAUGGAUUGUAAACUUCUUGUAUACGGGAAUAACAAGAGUCACGUGUGGCUCCCUGCAUGUACCGUAUGAAUAAGCAUCGGCUAACUCCGUG